rnacentral:rRNA from 1 species
AUGUUGGCCUUGAAAGAGAUUCUAAGGAAAUAUCAGGAAGCGUCUGGCCAACGCAUUAAUUUGCAGAAAUCAGCAAUUUUCUUCGGCAAAGGGAGUCAAGAGGAUGCAAAGGUACAACUAAAAAAUGCUCUGGGCGUGCAUAAUGAAGCGCUCAGUGAGAGAUAUUUGGGCCUCCCAACACUGGUUGGUAGGUCCAAAGAAGGGACUUUCAAGUACGUUACUGAG